GACGUAGGGCGCGAGCGUUGUCCGGAUUUAUUGGGCGUAAAGAGCUCGUAGGCGGCUUGUCGCGUCAACUGUGAAAACCCGUGGCUCAACCAUGUGGUCUGCAGUCGAUACGGGCAGGCUAGAAUUCGGUAGGGGAGACUGGAAUUCCUGGUGUAGCGGUGAAAUGCGCAGAUAUCAGGAGGAACACCAGUGGCGAAGGCGACUUCCUGGCCUGUUCUUGACGCUGAGGCGCGAAAGCUAGGGGAGCAAACGGG
rnacentral:rRNA from 1 species